rnacentral:tRNA from 1 species
UCCCGUGUGGUCUAGUGGCUAGGAUACGCGGCUCUCACCCGCGAGGUCCGGGUUCGAUUCCCGGCACGGGAA